rnacentral:rRNA from 1 species
GAAACGACUGCUAAGACUGGAUAGGAGACAAGAAGGCAUCUUCUUGUUUUUAAAAGACCUAGCAAUAGGUAUGCUUAGGGAGGAGCUUGCGUCACAUUAGUUAGUUGGUGGGGUAAAGGCCUACCAAGACUAUGAUGUGUAGCCGGGCUGAGAGGUUGAACGGCCACAUUGGGACUGAGACACGGCCCAAACUCCUACGGGAGGCAGCAGUAGGGAAUUUUCGGCAAUGGAGGAAACUCUGACCGAGCAACGCCGCGUGAACGAUGAAGUAUUUCGGUACGUAAAGUUCUUUUAUUAGGGAAGAAUAAAUGAUGGAAAAAUCAUUCUGACGGUACCUAAUGAAUAAGCCCCGGCUAACUAUGUGCCAGCAGCCGCGGUAAUACAUAGGGGGCAAGCGUUAUCCGGAAUUAUUGGGCGUAAAGGGUGCGUAGGCGGUUAAAUAAGUUUAUGGUCUAAGUGCAAUGCUCAACAUUGUGAUGCUAUAAAAACUGUUUAGCUAGAGUAAGAUAGAGGCAAGUGGAAUUCCAUGUGUAGUGGUAAAAUGCGUAAAUAUAUGGAGGAACACCAGUGGCGAAGGCGGCUUGCUGGGUCUUUACUGACGCUGAGGCACGAAAGCGUGGGGAGCAAACAGGAUUAGAUACCCUGGUAGUCCACGCCGUAAACGAUGAGUACUAAACGUUGGGUAAAACCAGUGUUGAAGUUAACACAUUAAGUACUCCGCCUGAGUAGUACGUACGCAAGUAUGAAACUUAAAGGAAUUGACGGGACUCCGCACAAGCGGUGGAUCAUGUUGUUUAAUUCGAAGGUACCCGAAAAACCUCACCAGGUCUUGACAUGCUUCUGCAAAGCUGUAGAAACACAGUGGAGGUUAUCAGUUGCACAGGUGGUGCAUGGUUGUCGUCAGCUCGUGUCGUGAGAUGUUGGGUUAAGUCCCGCAACGAGCGCAACCCUUAUUGUUAGUUACCAGCACGUAAUGGUGGGGACUUUAGCAAGACUGCCAGUGAUAAAUUGGAGGAAGGUGGGGACGACGUCAAAUCAUCAUGCCCCUUAUGACCUGGGCUACAAACGUGAUACAAUGGCUGUUACAAAGGGUAGCUGAAGCGCAAGUUUUUGGCGAAUCUCAAAAAAACAGUCUCAGUUCGGAUUGAAGUCUGCAACUCGACUUCAUGAAGUUGGAAUCGCUAGUAAUCGCGAAUCAGCAUGUCGCGGUGAAUACGUUCUCGGGGUUUGUACACACCGCCCGUCA